rnacentral:rRNA from 1 species
UAGGGAAUCUUCCACAAUGGGCGAAAGCCUGAUGGAGCAACGCCGCGUGGGUGAAGAAGGUCUUCGGAUCGUAAAACCCUGUUGUUAGAGAAGAAAGUGCGUGAGAGUAACUGUUCACGUUUCGACGGUAUCUAACCAGAAAGCCACGGCUAACUACGUGCCAGCAGCCGCGGUAAUACGUAGGUGGCAAGCGUUAUCCGGAUUUAUUGGGCGUAAAGGGAACGCAGGCGGUCUUUUAAGUCUGAUGUGAAAGCCUUCGGCUUAACCGGAGUAGUGCAUUGGAAACUGGGAGACUUGAGUGCAGAAGAGGAGAGUGGAACUCCAUGUGUAGCGGUGAAAUGCGUAGAUAUAUGGAAGAACACCAGUGGCGAAAGCGGCUCUCUGGUCUGUAACUGACGCUGAGGUUCGAAAGCGUGGGUAGCAAACA